CAUCUUACUGGGCAGCAUUGGAUGGAGUCAGGUCUCUAAUACUGCCUGGUAAUGAUGAC
rnacentral:pre_miRNA from 2 species